UGUUAAAAAUAUCAUCUGUUUUUAUUGUUAAAAACUAGUGUGGGUAAGGGAAUAAUUAGGCAGUUAUACGUUGUGUGCCACGUGCACCUCAUACUAAUGUAUAAUGACCAGUUUUUAACAGUAAAAAUAGAUGGAGUUUUUAACA
rfam:Gossypium hirsutum cultivar TM-1 chromosome 17, whole genome shotgun sequence